AGUGAACGCUGGCGGUAGGCCUAACACAUGCAAGUCGAACGGCAGCACAGUAAGAGCUUGCUCUUACGGGUGGCGAGUGGCGGACGGGUGAGGAAUACAUCGGAAUCUACUUUUUCGUGGGGGAUAACGUCGGGAAACUUACGCUAAUACCGCAUACGACCUACGGGUGAAAGCAGGGGAUCUUCGGACCUUGCGCGAUUGAAUGAGCCGAUGUCGGAUUAGCUAGUUGGCGGGGUAAAGGCCCACAAAGGCGACGAUCCGUAGCUGGUCUGAGAGGAUGAUCAGCCACACUGGAACUGAGACACGGCACAGACUCCUACGGGAGGCAGCAGUGGGGAAUAUUGGACAAUGGGGGCAAGCCGGAUCCAGCAAUACCGCGUGGGUGAAGAAGGCCUUCGGGUUGUAAAGCCCUUUUGUUGUGAAAGAAAAGCAGCAGGUUAAUACCCCGCUGUUCUGACGGUACCCAAAGAAUAAGCACCGGCUAACUUCGUG
rnacentral:rRNA from 1 species